CUGCUAGUUUUCCCACUGUGGUCCUAGCUAGGUGAAGGUCCUCUGCUAUGUCACUACUAGUGACACAGUUGAUCACCAACUUCAGCAAUUCCUGAAGCAGAAUGACAGCUCAAUUAGAAGUGCAUGUUGGAACUGAGUUCAAAGGUUAUGUAACGAUGUAUUGACUGCAGCAGUUACAAAUUGUCAAAUAAGGUGUGAUAUCAUUGAACACUGACCUGGGAUUCACUGGAGCCAUUAUAGAAAAAUGCCAUCUAAAUAUGGUGCAUUUUAAAUAAACAGAAUGUGAGGAUAUGGAUUGAAUUCAGCAGACUCAUGACAGUGACCAAUGACAGGCUAUCACAAAUAUAGUACUGAAACUUCAGGAUCCACAAAAAUUAUAUUCCAGGCACACAAACAGUCUGCUAAAUGAGUCAGCUGUACUCAGAAUUUUCAAGAGAAUGACACAGUACUUAAGAAUGAUACCAUCUGAAGUACCAAAACAUUCUAGCUGCUUAAUGAAGAAGUCUAGAAGCACCUGGAAACAGACCAAUACAAUGCAGGUUAUACUAUGGGAGAUAUGAGAAAGUUGGCCCUGAAAUUCUACAAAGCAAGAAAUGCUAUAUGACAGCUCACCACUAACUCUUCAUCAUCCCAUCGGAAUGACCUGACAGGCAGAAAUCCAAGCAGUUGUCCAAGGCAGCAAGCCACUAUCAUCUUUACAAGUGGAUCCUCAUGACACAGGAAGUCAGGAUUCACUAAAUUUUGUAGCAAUGGGAUAAACUCAUCAAAAUGCUUCCCUUCAGUAGUGUCUUCCUUUCCAAUUCUCUGCAGAUACAACAGCAAAUUCUGAAAGUAAUGCAACAAUAAUUCAGUACAAUCAGCCUUAGAGGAAAUAGAAAAUACACAUAUACACAAAUCACUGAUACUGUAUCAGUAUCAUAGCUUCUGUAGUGUUGACUAAAAUGGCAUGAUAAUUACAAUGGCAGACAGGAAAAGAUAACAAAGUAACCAAGUAGUCACAGCCUAUUUCAAGGUACUAUUCUCAUGUUUCUUGAAAGAACGAAUAAAACCAUAAAAACUUCAGUUCAUACAGCUGACACCCUGGCAAAAAUUCAAAAUCAGUACGAACUGAAUAUGAGUCAAAUGCAUUUCUGCCAAGCUAAACUUAAUGGCCAAAAAAAUGCUUUUUAAUGUGUAUUCAUGCUACAUAAAACAGUGAUAGUUAUCUUCCAUAUCUCUGCAGUAUGCACACUGGAACUCUUUAUUCCAAAACCAAACAUUACAGAACUCAAAGCAAGAAAAAACACACAGUAACUUCCAAAAAUGACAGGAUAUAAGAAAAUACAGCAACACUGUGACAGGUAAGCUGGAGCCUGUUCAUGCUAGCAUGUGUAUGUAGUUGCUGAAAGACUAUUUUGAAGGUGACUGCAUUUAUGGGAUUCUUAAUGCCACCAGAUUUGAGACAUGGCUCCUGUUCUGGAACUUCCUGAAGCUAUCAUGUACAACAGCAAGAGACAAGUAACUCUGGCACUUAUUCAAUGAGACUAAAUACAGAUACAGCAUUAAUGAAAAAGAGCAAUGAAGUGAUCUGUUUUUUAAAUUUGCUGAUGGCUCAGAAAUAUAGGUAUAGAUCAUAUGGGCUGAAUGCAUUAUAAAUAUCAGUAGAGUAUUACAGUACAAAAACAUUUUAAUAUACAAUUAGAUGGCUGCAUAGUCAUUCUCUGCUACCAAAAAUUUCAACGGUUCACAUUAAGGAUAACAUUAGUACUAACAGAAUGGAAGAAAUAAGUAGUUUUGUUUUAGUAUUUUAGUCUAUAAAAAUUUGUUUCACAUUUUUCACACUGACAUUACUCACACCUUUUUCAGAACAUAUCUUCAUGGCAGAGUUUAAGUACCUAAUUUCAACAUGCAACAACCUGAACAAGGUUUGACAACUGUUAAGACUCACUUUAAGCUCAGUAAUCAAGUCUUGCAAAGGCUGUUCAGCAUUUAUGAGUAGGCCCUCGACUGGAUAAUGAAUUUUACUAGACAUUGCAGAUCUGAAAACAAGCACAAUAUGUUAAUGAGCUGUGUAUUAUAUGACACAUUACACUAAUUUCUAUAAACUGUUUUUCCUAGUUAUAAAGUCCUAGAUUUAUUACAAUAAUAAGAGGAAAUGAGCAAA